rnacentral:rRNA from 1 species
GUCCUUUUGUUAUUUAUUUAAGGUCUGACCUGCCCAAUGAUUAUUUUAAUGGCUGCGGUAUUUUAACUGUACAAAGGUAGCAUAAUCAUUUGUCUUUUAAUUGAAGGCUUGAAUGAAUGGUUGGACGAGAUAUAUACUUUCUUUAAUUUAUAUUAAUGAAUUUAAUUUUUUAGUUAAAAAGCUAAAAUUUUUUUAUAGGACGAGAAGACCCUAUAGAACUUUAUAUUUUGAUUUAUAAUUAAUUUUUAGUAUAUAUUUAUUUUUUAUAAAAAAAUUUAUUUUGUUGGGGUGACAGGAAGAUUUUUUUAACUCUUUUUUUUUAUUUCAUUUAUUUAUGUUUUUUUGAUCCAAUAUUAUUGAUUAUAAGAUUAAGUUACCUUAGGGAUAACAGCGUAAUUUUUUUGGAGAGUUCUUAUCGAUAAAAAAGUUUGCGACCUCGAUGUUGAAUUAAGAUUAGUUAUGGGUGUAGAAUUUCAUUUACUAGGUCUGUUCGACCUUUAAAUUCUUACAUGAUCUGAGUUCAAACCCGGAG